UGACCGCUGGCGGCGUGCUUAACACAUGCACGUCGAACGAGAAGUGAAGACGGAAACCUUCGGGCGGAAGGCUUUAUUUCGAGUGGCGGACGGGUGAGUAACGCGUGGGUAACCUGCCUCAUACAGGGGGAUAACAGUUGGAAACGACUGUUAAUACCGCAUAAGACCACAGCACCGCAUGGUGCGGGGGUAAAAACUCCGGUGGUAUGAGAUGGACCCGCGUUCGAUUAGCCAGUUGGCGGGGUAACGGCCCACCAAAGCGACGAUCGAUAGCCGAUCUGAGAGGAUGACCGGCCACAUUGGGACUGAGACACGGCCCAAACUCCUACGGGAGGCAGCAGUGGGGAAUAUUGCACAAUGGGGGAAACCCUGAUGCAGCGACGCCGCGUGAGUGAAGAAGUAUUUCGGUAUGUAAAGCUCUAUCAGCAGGGAAGAAAAUGACGGUACCUGAGUAAGAAGCCCCGGCUAACUACGUG
rnacentral:rRNA from 1 species